rfam:Triticum aestivum genome assembly, contig: Triticum_aestivum_CS42_TGACv1_scaffold_435035_5DL
CAAGUACUCCCUCCGUCUAGAAUUACUUGUCGCGGAAAUGGAUAAAAAUAGAUGUAUUCUAGAACUAAAAUACAUCUAGAUACAUCCAUUUGUUCGACAAGUAUUUCCGGACGGAGGGAGUAUUCA